rnacentral:rRNA from 1 species
ACGUAGGGGGCAAGCGUUAUCCGGAUUUACUGGGUGUAAAGGGUGCGUAGGUGGCAAGGCAAGUCAGAUGUGAAAGCCCGGGGCUCAACCCCGGUAUUGCAUUUGAAACUGUUUAGCUAGAGUGCAGGAGAGGUAAGUGGAAUUCCUAGUGUAGCGGUGAAAUGCGUAGAUAUUAGGAGGAACACCAGUGGCGAAGGCGGCUUACUGGACUGUAACUGACACUGAGGCACGAAAGCGUGGGGAGCAAACAG